CAAAAAACCAAUUUUCUCCCCCACGAGCCCCUCCUCCCUUCCAGAUCCGCACCGUCAGCUCCCUUCUGAGGAGCUCGCCGCCGUCCUCCUCCUCUUACCCAUGGCCUCCCCCACGCCCUCCUCCUCCUGCUCUUCGUGUUCCUCGCCGUGUCCGGGCCGGUCAGGCCCGCAACAGUCGGUCUCUCUAUCUCUCUCUGUCCAUAACACCAGACCGAGAGGGGUUCUGUUCCCCAACCGGCGCCACCCGAAACCCCUUUGACGGCCGGACCGCCGUCGCCCGUCGCCGCGCCCCUUCCCGGAGGACGCCAUAGUAUUGUGGCAUCCCCUCCACACCCGCUUGCAUUAGGCGGUGGGCACCUCGCUCGCGGUGUUCACCAGCAGGGGGGAGAGGUACUCGAUUCGGCCGCCGGCAGUGGAGGGAGGAACGCCAAGAUGUCGGAUUUCCAAACCUCCACCCACCGGGAGCGGUGGAUCCUCCAGACGCAGGACCUGGUAGUGCACGGUGGACAAGAUGUUGAUCAAGGGAAUCCGGAGCUUCGGCCCAGUGAGCAAGAACGUCAUCACCUUCUUCAGGCCGCUCACCCUCAUCGUCGGCUCCAACGGAGCCGGCAAAACCGUAAUGCCCACCAACCCAAUCUACUGCAUCCUAUAUAUUCCACCAUGUGGUGUGUGUAUGCACCGGCCGGCUGGCUUGGGUUCUUUUGGAUUCCCGCAGAUGAUCAUCGAGUGCCUGAAGCUGUCCUACACUGGCGAGCUGCCCCCCAACUCCCGCUCCGGCCACACCUUCGUCCAUGACCCCAAGGUGGCAGGCGAAACCGAAACGAAACAGCAGAUCAAGCUGCGGUUUAAGACGGCGGCAGGAAAGGAUGUGGUGUGCAUCCACUCUUUCCAGCUUACCCAGAAGGCAUCAACGAUGGAGUUCAAGGCAACCGAGAGCGUCCUCCAGACCAUAAAUCCACACAUGGGCGAGGUGGAUAAAUGGACAAGGCGAACCGGCGUUCCGCGCAGAUACUUGCCCAGUAUGGGACGACGAGAUUGAAGGUGGACCCUGUGGAUUGCUGGAUAUCAAACCCAGAACCUGUGCCUGAUGGUACAGUAUGGGACGACGAGAUUGAAGGUGGACCCUGUUGAUUGCUGGAUAUCAAACCCAGAACCUGUGCCUGAUGGUACAGUUGUUGGAAGCUCGAGUGUGAAGCCUCUAUCCUGCAAAGAGGAGCAAGUGAUGCGGAUAUUUUACGAGCAAAAGAUUCAGGAAGUGUGCAGAGCAUUCAAAUUCCCCCACAAAAUUCAGGCUACAACUAUAAUAUAUUUCAAGAGAUUCUAUCUACCGUGGUCUGUAAUGGAGCACCACCCAAAGAAUAUUAUGUAAGCAGCAUUAGACAACCUGCAGUUGCUUGUUCACAGUUGCCCCUUGUGUGAAAAUCAUGCGCAGGACGUUUCCAUGAUUCAUUUAGGCAGGCUGUUCGGCUUAACUUUCCUCUUAAGUAUUAUGAUCUGUGCCAUUACAUGUUCAUACUUUAUUCACCAAAAGUCUCAACAACUGCCUAGCCAUUUCAUCUGUUGAAGCUGAUUUUGCUUUCCGCUGAUGUCCAUGUCAAGUGCAUUUGCUUACAUGAAUCUCUCCCUGCCCGCGCCAUCCUUUGACCUACCAGACAUUGCAGAUCUUUUUGAUCCCCCCUCUCUCCCAACACAGGUUCUGCUGGUAUCAUGGGAAGUUCAUCAAGGAAAAGAGAAUCAAAUGGAUCAUCCAUUCAAGAUCAGUUUAAACCUUUUCUGGACACCUAUUUUACUGGAGUGAACUCCAUUGUUAGCAGAUGUGCCAAUGUUCUAUUGUACAAUUUUGUCCGUUCUUGCUAUAUUCCUGUGUAAGGAAAUUUAUUCAUAAGAUGAGUUAUUAUGUUAUGUAAACCUGAGAGAUGUAUUAUGUGAUGUUAUAUGAUGGAUGAUUUUAAUUUGA